CGGAGAAAAUAACGAGCGAUCAGUAAGAAAGAAUAGCUAGAUACACGCACGAACUAAUAGCGACGUAACGUCCCGCUAUUGUGAGACAGGGAUUGGCCUAGCGUGUAAUCAUCGGUAUGUGCGAUCUACUGCAGAUAGUGAACUAAUGGGCAUUUCGAGAAAGGCUUGUUCGGGACUUGGCAGAUCUUUCCCGAAGGUCUCGAAUGCCGAUAACGAUCGAGGAGGGGUCGUUACAGGAGAGGAAAGCGAAAGGCUUGGGUAGUGAGUGAUUCAAGAGUAAUUGAAGGAAUAUCAAGUGGGUUUCAAGAU